rnacentral:rRNA from 1 species
GACGAACGCUGGCGGCGUGCUUAACACAUGCAAGUCGAGCGGUAAGGCCCUUUCGGGGGUACACGAGCGGCGAACGGGUGAGUAACACGUGGGUGACCUGCCCUCAGCUCUGGGAUAAGCCUGGGAAACCGGGUCUAAUACUGGAUAUGACUCCAUGACGCAUGUUGUGGGGUGGAAAGCCUUGUGCGGCUGAGGAUGGGCCCGCGGCCUAUCAGCUUGUUGGUGGGGUGANGGCCUACCAAGGCGACGACGGGUAGCCGGCCUGAGAGGGCGACCGGCCACACUGGGACUGAGACACGGCCCAGACUCCUACGGGAGGCAGCAGUAAGGAAUAUUGGUCAAUGGACGCAAGUCUGAACCAGCCAUGCCGCGUGGAGGAUGAAGGUCCUCUGGAUUGUAAACUUCUUUUAUAUGGGACGAAAAGGGUCUUUCUAGAUCAACUGACGGUACCAUAUGAAUAAGCACCGGCUAACUCCGUGCCAGCCGCCGCGGUAAU